rnacentral:rRNA from 1 species
UACAGAGGGGGCAAGCGUUGUUCGGAAUUACUGGGCGUAAAGGGCGCGUAGGCGGCCCGCUAAGUCGAACGUGAAAUCCCCGAGCUCAACUCGGGAACUGCGUCCGAUACUGGUGGGCUUGAAUCCGGGAGAGGGAUGCGGAAUUCCAGGUGUAGCGGUGAAAUGCGUAGAUAUGUGGAGGAACACCGAUGGCGAAGGCAGCCCCCUGGGUUAACACUGACGCUCAUGCACGAAAGCGUGGGGAGCAAACAGG